UACGGGGGGGAGCAAGCGUUGUUCGGAUUUACUGGGCGUAAAGGGCGCGUAGGCGGCCACCGCAAGUCGGUUGUGAAAUCUCCGGGCUUAACUCGGAAAGGUCAACUGAUACUGCGGGGCUAGAGUGCGGAAGGGGGCAACUGGAAUUCUCGGUGUAGCGGUGAAAUGCGUAGAUAUCGAGAGGAACACCUGCGGCGAAGGCGGGUUGCUGGGCCGACACUGACGCUGAUGCGCGAAAGCCAGGGGAGCGAACGGG
rnacentral:rRNA from 1 species